rnacentral:tRNA from 1 species
GUCAAGGAAGAGCAAUUGGUUCGCUCAUUAGGCUUAUGCUCCAAAAAUUGUAAGUUCGAAUCUUACACUCGAUA